AAUCCAUAGGUUAAUGAGGCGAACCGGGGGAACUGAAACAUCUAAGUACCCCGAGGAAAAGAAAUCAACCGAGAUUCCCCCAGUAGCGGCGAGCGAACGGGGAGGAGCCCAGAGCCUGAAUCAGCAUGUGUGUUAGUGGAAGCGUCUGGAAAGGCGCGCGAUACAGGGUGACAGCCCCGUACACAAAAGCGCAUGUGCUGUGAGCUCGAUGAGUAGGGCGGGACACGUGGUAUCCUGUCUGAAUAUGGGGGGACCAUCCUCCAAGGCUAAAUACUCCUGACUGACCGAUAGUGAACCAGUACCGUGAGGGAAAGGCGAAAAGAACCCCGGCGAGGGGAGUGAAAAAGAACCUGAAACCGUGUACGUACAAGCAGUGGGAGCCUCUUUUAUGGGGUGACUGCGUACCUUUUGUAUAAUGGGUCAGCGACUUAUAUUCUGUAGCAAGGUUAACCGUAUAGGGGAGCCGGAGGGAAACCGAGUCUUAACCGGGCGUUAAGUUGCAGGGUAUAGACCCGAAACCCGGUGAUCUAGCCAUGGGCAGGUUGAAGGUUGGGUAACACUAACUGGAGGACCGAACCGACUAAUGUUGAAAAAUUAGCGGAUGACCUGUGGCUGGGGGUGAAAGGCCAAUCAAACCGGGAGAUAGCUGGUUCUCCCCGAAAGCUAUUUAGGUAGCGCCUCGUGAAUUCAUCUCCGGGGGUAGAGCACUGUUUCGGCUAGGGGGCCAUCCCGGCUUACCAACCCGAUGCAAACUGCGAAUACCGGAGAAUGUUAUCACGGGAGACACACGGCGGGUGCUAACGUCCGUCGUGAAGAGGGAAACAACCCAGACCGCCAGCUAAGGUCCCAAAGUCAUGGUUAAGUGGGAAACGAUGUGGGAAGGCCCAGACAGCCAGGAUGUUGGCUUAGAAGCAGCCAUCAUUUAAAGAAAGCGUAAUAGCUCACUGGUCGAGUCGGCCUGCGCGGAAGAUGUAACGGGGCUAAACCAU
rnacentral:rRNA from 1 species